UUAACUCAAAUAUGUAUGGAGUUGGAGCGUUUGCCUACGUUUGCCGCUAGGGGCGCUGUUCCAACUUCAUACAAAUUUUAGUUA
rfam:Bombyx mori DNA, contig: Bm_scaf42_contig23961, strain: p50T/Dazao, build 2, whole genome shotgun sequence.